rnacentral:rRNA from 1 species
GAUGAACGCUAGCGGCAGGCUUAACACAUGCAAGUCGAGGGGUAUAGUUCUUCGGAAUUAGAGACCGGCGCACGGGUGCGUAACGCGUAUGCAAUCUACCUUUCACAAAGGGAUAGCCCAGAGAAAUUUGGAUUAAUACCUUAUAGUAAUACGACUUGGCAUCAAGAUGUAUUUAAAGAUUUAUCGGUGAAAGAUGAGCAUGCGUCCAUUAGCUUGUUGGUAAGGUAACGGCUUACCAAGGCAACGAUGGUAGGGGUCCUGAGAGGGAGAUCCCCCACACUGGUACUGAGACACGGACCAGACUCCUACGGAGGCAGCAGUGAGGAAUAUUGGACAAUGGGCGCAAGCCUGAUCCAGCCAUGCCGCGUGCAGGAUGACGGUCCUAUGGAUUGUAAACUGCUUUGUACAGGAAGAAACCCUUUCACGUGUGAAGAUUGACGGUACUGUAAGAAUAAGGAUCGGCUAACUCCGUGCCAGCAGCC